GCUCCUGUGGAAGAUGUCUAAAUGUUAUGAGAAAUACAUGAUUAAAUAAAAAUGUGAAAUGAAAGCAUGGAGACUUGUUGAAGGUUGUAAGUGAAGAUACAGAUGGCAAGACACACAAAGACCAAAUCCCAAAGCACUUCAACAUUUAGAAGUCAGAAAAAGAAAGAGAAACUAGCAAACAAUACUGAGAAGAGGCCAAUGAAAUCAGGAAAAUCAGGAGAUGAUGGUGUCUGAAAGCCAAACAAGGAAAGGCUACCAAAAAGGAUGAAGAGAUCAACAGUGUCAAAUUCUCCUGAAAGGUAGGCUAAGGACUGCCCUUAUUGGACCACAGAGAGAAAGAUGAUCUCCUUCCCAGGUGCACUGAGUGGCAGCCUUGGGCCUGGACUGGUGGGUUCUUGGUGGCAGCAGGCAUUUGCUGGUGGGGGCUCCCUCAGACCAUUUUCAACUAUUAAGUCAAGAGGACUUACAGCAAGUUCUUGCAAUCUUCACUCCCAUGUGCAUGAAGUCUUGGGUCCAUGAUGUUCUGCCACAGUUUACAAUGACCUUCAUUAUGCAUCAUUAGCAUUUCAUUAACAUUAGCAGGGCCAUAUAGCAGUUUAAUCUAUCAGCUACUCCCUUAGGACAUCUGGCUAAUCCAUUAACUUCCAACAUAAAUUAUUGAACCCCCCUUUUAGCUGGUUAUUUAUGAGACCACUGGUCCUGACCUGCCCUUCCUGGUUUUGGCAUGGUUCCUAGUCUUCUGGAAGUCUUUGACUUACUCUUAGUAAACUUAUCUGCCCCUCGAAACUUACACAAAUAUACCAUUUCAUAAACAGACAUACAGAACUUCAAGUAAGAAAUAGGACCCCAUAUCUACCAAACCUGUCUCUUUACUAAAAUAUCCUAUUUUGACCCUUUCUUUGAAUUGUAACUAGUUUUGUAAUUACACAGUUAUAUGUCUAUUUUUGCAUAUACAAUGUUAACUUUUUAUCAGUAAAGCCUCAUGGCUCAACUUGUAGAUCAACAACCAUAGAUCUACAGUUGUUGUGAUAUGCAAAUUGUCACUGCCUCUUCCUUUGUCCUUUCAGCACUAACCCAGCAUUUUUGGAAGGAACCUGGUUUUCUGAGAAUAGCAAUAUGUUUCAGGCCAUUCUGAUGUUCCCUUACUCCCACACAUGGAAUUAGCUUCUUUGAAGGGGCCCUGGCUACUGCUAAUGAAAACCACUCCGGAGAUUAAUACUUGGGUACUGAGAGUACACACAGGUGUGCACAGGCAGACCGGGGAUGUGAUGGCACUCCAUGGCCACUGGAAAGACAGGUGGAAAAGAUGCUGUUUCCUAAUCUUGUAAUUAUGUUCAUAGUGAGAUUGCUCAUAUAGUUCUAGCAUUACUACAUCCUUCUCUUUUAUAUGAUUUUUAAGUGGAUUAUUUUCUACAAUGUGCCUAUUUAGAUUUUUAACUGUUAACCCAAACUGAUUAUUCCCACCUCUGAUUUUAUCAUUUUAUAGAUAUAUAUGUGUGUGUGCAUACAUAUGCAUAUAUAUAUAUAUGUGUGUGUGUGUGCAUAUAUACAUAUAUAUAUAUAUAUAAAUAAAUUUUAGGGACAGGGUCUUGCUUUGUUGCUGCCCAGGUUGGAGGAGUGCAGUGGCAUGAUCACAGCUUAUUGCAGCCUUGAGCUCCUGGGCUCAAGCAAUCCUCCAGCCUUGGCCUCCCAUAGUGUUAGGAUUACAGGCAUGAGCCACCAUGCCCAGCCAAGAUCCAUUAUUUUGAGGUCGCCUGUAUGUAUCCUUUAUCAAAACCUUCUUUCAAGAAAGCAUCCUGUGAAAUUAUGUUCCUAAAUUAUUGUUUUCAUGUAAAUGUCUAUUUCUCAUAAAGAUAUUGGAUAUAAUGAUAAAAUUAUUGACACGAAUAUA
ensembl:lncRNA MIR30D and MIR30B host gene